AGCGAACGCUGGCGGCAGGCCUAACACAUGCAAGUCGAACGCCCCGCAAGGGGAGUGGCAGACGGGUGAGUAACGCGUGGGAAUCUACCCAGAUCUACGGAACAACAGAGGGAAACUUCUGCUAAUACCGUAUACGCCCUACGGGGGAAAGAUUUAUCGGAUUUGGAUGAGCCCGCGUAAGAUUAGCUAGUUGGUGAGGUAAUGGCUCACCAAGGCGACGAUCUUUAGCUGGUCUGAGAGGAUGAUCAGCCACACUGGGACUGAGACACGGCCCAGACUCCUACGGGAGGCAGCAGUGGGGAAUAUUGGACAAUGGGCGCAAGCCUGAUCCAGCCAUGCCGCGUGAGUGAUGAAGGCCUUAGGGUUGUAAAGCUCUUUCAGUGGGGAAGAUAAUGACGGUACCCACAGAAGAAGCCCCGGCUAACUUCGUGCCAGCCGCCGCCGUAAAAC
rnacentral:rRNA from 1 species